rnacentral:rRNA from 1 species
UUUACUUCAUUGGGUAGGGGAGCGUUCUGUAAGCCGUUGAAGGUGAAUCGUAAGGUUUGCUGGAGGUAUCAGAAGUGCGAAUGCUGACAUGAGUAACGAUAAAGGGAGUGAAAAACUCCCUCGCCGGAAGAUCAAGGGUUCCUGUCCAACGUUAAUCGGGGCAGGGUAAGUCGACCCCUAAGGCGAGGCCGAAAGGCGUAGUCGAUGGGAAACGGGUUAAUAUUCCCGUACUUCUUAUAAUUGCGAUGGAGGGACGGAGAAGGCUAGGUGAGCCUGGCGACGGUUGUCCAGGUCCAAGUAUGUAGGCUGAUGGUUUAGGCAAAUCCGGACCAUCUUAAGGCUGAGAUACGAUGUCGAGUCACUACGGUGACGAAGUCAUUGAUGCCAUGCUUCCGGGAAAAGCUUCUAAGCUUCAGAUUAUAAGAAAUCGUACCCCAAACCGACACAGGUGAUCAGGUAGAGAAUACCAAGGCGCUUGAGAGAACUCGGGUGAAGGAACUAGGCAAAAUGGUACCGUAACUUCGGGAGAAGGUACGCUCCUAGCGGUGAUGAGACUUGCUCUCUAAGCUGCCGGGAGUCGCAGAUACCAGGUGGCUGCAACUGUUUAUUAAAAACACAGCACUGUGCAAAAUCGAAAGAUGACGUAUACGGUGUGACGCCUGCCCGGUGCCGGAAGGUUAAUUGAUGGGGUUAGACUUCGGUCGAAGCUCUUGAUCGAAGCCCCGGUAAACGGCGGCCGUAACUAUAACGGUCCUAAGGUAGCGAAAUUCCUUGUCGGGUAAGUUCCGACCUGCACGAAUGGCGUAAUGAUGGCCACGCUGUCUCCACCCGAGACUCAGUGAAAUUGAAAUCGCAGUGAAGAUGCUGCGUCCCCGCGGCUAGACGGAAAGACCCCGUGAACCUUUACUAUAGCUUGGCACUGAACAUUGACCCUACAUGUGUAGGAUAGGUGGGAGACGUUGAAGCAACCGCGCCAGUGGUUGUGGAGUCAAUCUUGAAAUACCACCCUUGUAUGCUUGAUGUUCUAACGUUGG